CAUUUCAUGCACUUAGUAUUUGAGAGAUAAAUUAGUUAUUAGACAAACUUGAUUAAAACUGUCACGUCAUUAAAUAUGGCUAAAUAAACCUAAGCCUCACCUUUUCCAACCAAUCCAAGACAUUUCCCCCUAACCUUAACCUUCAGUCAUUGUUUUCCUUUUUCUAAACUUCAGCAAUUUCCAACUCCUGGCCCAAACCAGUUGAUAUUGUCCAUAUCAAACAUGAGACGGCAAAAUAUCAGAGAACCGUCCCACGGCAUCGUAGACACUUCGUUAUGAUAUUGUGGUGUUGAUUUAAAAUCAGUCUGUUUUAUUUUGGUCGUUCAGGUCAAAGAGGCUGAUCCUCCAGAGAGGCCUGGACUGGGCUGAUGUCAACAUUUACUUACAGGUUAAAGGAAAGAUGGAGAAGUUAUGAUGAACCUCGUCCCCUGAAGAAUCCAGAAACCACUGAUGCAGUUAAAGGUGCAUUAUGGCAGAGCUUCUGGACUGUCAGGACCUUCUAUAAUCCUAGGACGGUGAGACACGAC
rnacentral:lncRNA from 1 species